GGGCGCGGUGGCGGCGAGCGGGGAGCGGCGGGGCCUGGAGCGCUGGCGGUGGUCGGAGGUUUCCAUGUGCAAGGCUCCAGCCCAGACCAAUGACACUGCUUAUCUAUGAUUGUCAAAAUGCCAGCUAUCACCAGUGAAGAACUCCAGGUGGCACAAAUACUAUGACCUGUCUCCUAACAGAUCUCAGGAGUUCAACCAAUCUACAAAGGCCAAAAAUAUUUUCACAGGCCCCCAAAAGAUGAACUCCAAUCUGCUGCCCCUAAACGCAUUCUCCACUGUCUGGAAGAUGUGCAAAGGCAACGGCACAGCGUUCUCCAUCUCAAAUCCUUCAAAGUGCUGUCAGAAUAAAAGAAUCCCCACCAAAAGCCCCAGGGAAAUCUAUCUGUCUGUAUGGUAUGGUAAUGACUGAGGUUAUUCCAGAUAGGAUUCUGGGAGAAACUCAGCUAUUGAAAUCUAAUGAAUGGAACUGAGAAUUUCUUGUUAUAAUACUGUUUGUUUGAUUGAAUAUAUCCUUGCAUAUAGGAAGACAUAAAAAUAAAUAAUAAAAGCAAGAUAUUAUUUG
rnacentral:lncRNA from 1 species